rnacentral:sRNA from 1 species
UCCUAGCCCUGAUGGGAGGGAAAAUCCUUUUGUGUCCGCCGCGGCGGACAUAAAAGAUUUGGAAGGACAGCAGGAAUAGCU